ACCUCAGCUAGAAAACGGUUCUUGUUCAAUUCGCCGUUUCGUUGGAUUUCUUGUAUAUCUUCCGUAACGUCGUGCGCAAUAGCAAUCUCCUUUUCCACGCUAUAGGUGCCGUCAUGGCUUUAUAAAAGAUUUUUCAAGGAUAUACAUUAUGUCUAACACUGUUACUGGUACAGUUAAAUGGUUCAACGAAACUAAAGGUUUCGGUUUCAUCAAACAAGAAAACGGUCCUGACGUUUUUGCACACUUCUCAGCAAUCGAAGGCGACGGUUUCCGUACUCUUGCUGAAGGUCAAAAAGUUGAGUUCGUUAUCACUCAAGGCCAAAAAGGCCCUCAAGCUGAACACAUCAAAGCUGUUUAACUUGUAGCUAAAUAAAGUUUACAAUAGCCAGCAUUUUUGCUGGCUAUUUUUA
rnacentral:sRNA from 1 species